AAAUGUAAACGAGAUUCACCUGUCUCCCUCCAAUUUUUGGUCUGAAAAUUCAAAAUUUGAGGGUGGGUGUUGCUGCGGGAUCGUUGCCGUCUCUUUGUCUCUCCUCUGUCCAAUGUAUCUUCCUCUCACUUCUUCAGCCAUGCAUAUCUUUUAUGCUCCUUAACCGCCUGAUCUUCGGUUCUCUAAUCUGUCGUUCUUGGUAUGUUGUUAUGUCGUGAGUGUUUCCAUCCAUUAUUUUGUUUUCCUGAUUGUUUUUCUGGAUCUUUUUGGCUGCAUUAUUAAGCCAUUAGUUUUGGAUUCUUUCAUGUCGAUUCAACUGAUGUUGUAAAUGGGCUGAUGGGGAUUGGAUCUGAAGAGGCCAAAGCUUCUUGAUUCUGAUGGGUCACUCUCAAGAAUUUCUAUGAAUUUUGGUUCCUCCCAGAAGAAGAAAGAAUCGAUAAUAGUAAUGUGUGAUUGUAGUAUGGGUAUUGGCUAUAGGCAAUUGGAUGAUUGGAAGCAGACUGAAUGACUUCAUUUGAUCACAAAUAAUUGGCUGUAUGGUUGUUUCCAAGGGUGUUUAUGCGUUAUCCGGAGAAGGUUGAAGAAUAUAAUAUUUUGCCAGAAUUUCCUUACUUCUAUUGAAAUAUCAUGUCCACAAACACUAUGCUUUUCAGCAUGUCGUUCAGUAUUUUUCACUUUCUGUAUUGCAGUUGAACCUGGGAUUCAGUUUUGCUUUUUGGUGAGUCUCACACUCAAUAAUCUUCAAGUGUUACGACAUCCUGUGAUAGGAGUAUUCAGAACUAGAAAUGUUCAUUCGAGCAUGGCUGUAUCAGCGGAAGUGCAACUGAUUUCUAUGUGCAGAUUGAAACUGUCACUGAUUUUUCCUGUGUUAGUUUACCUUUUUCGGUGGUUGUCCCCAAGCAUGAGUUCUCUAAGUAGUUAAGUUAAUGUUCUCUGUUUUUUAAAUUCACCGUCAUGUUAGGAUAUUUGUAUAUUGCUGGAAUUGUUAAGGUGAAAACUCAGGUGCAGUCGAUUUCACGUGAAGUUGAUAUCUGAAAAUUGUUAGAUAAUUUGAUUAAUUUGACUAAAUUUUCAUCUAACGGUUCUCAGAUAUCAACUUCACUUCAUCUGAGUUUUCACCAUUUGUUAAUAUCGUGGUGUAUUACUCGGUUUUGUUGCAAAUUCCACUCAUUUUAUUAGCCCAUCUCAUUGCGUUCAUUAAUAUUUUCGCUUAUACCUUUUUUUCUCACCGCUAGAGUUCAUUCAUCAGAUUUAACCUAACCUUACUGUGGAUGGAGUUUCUCAUUUUAUAUCCCAUUAUCAUGAUUGCCUUUUAUGUUACAUUAAAUUGGCUAUGAAAGUAAUUUUCUACCAUUUAAUUAAGGUUCCCAAUUUGGUCUUCUAACAAAUUAAGGAUUGCCUUAACAGACCAAGUGGUGUCAAGUUCAUUGUGCA